UGUAGUUCAUAUGCUUGUCUCAAAGAUUAAGCCAUGCAUGUCUAAGUAUAAGCAAUUACAAAGCGAAACUGCGAAUGGCUCAUUAUAUAAGUUAUCGUUUAUUUGAUAGUACCUUACUACAUGGAUAACCGUGGUAAUUCUAGAGCUAAUACAUGCUGAAAAUCCCGACUUCGGAAGGGAUGUAUUUAUUAGAUACAAAACCAAUGCCCUUCGGGGCUCUCUUGGUGAUUCAUGAUAACUUCUCGAAUCGCACGGCCCCGCGCCGGCGAUGGUUCAUUCAAAUUUCUUCCCUAUCAACUUUCGAUGCUACGGUAUUGUCCUAGCAUGGUUGCAACGGGUGACGGAGGGUUAGGGCUCGACCCCGGAGAAGGAGCCUGAGAAACGGCUACUACAUCCAAGGAAGGCAGCAGGCGCGCAAAUUACCCAAUCCCGAUACGGGGAGGUAGUGACGAUAAAUACCGAUACAGGGCUCUUUUGGGUCCUGUAAUUGGAAUGAGUACAAUUCAAAUCCCUUAACGAGGAACAAUUGGAGGGCAAGUCUGGUGCCAGCAGCCGCGGUAAUUCCAGCUCCAAUAGCGUAUAUUAAAGUUGUUGUGGUUAAAAAGCUCGUAGUWGAASCUYGGGCUCYGGCYGRCCGGUCCGCCUCACCGCGUGYACUGGUYCGGCCGGGCCUUYMCCUUCUGYGGAACCCCAUSCCCUUCACUGGGKGUGGCGGGGAAACAGGACKUUUACUKUGAAAAAAUUAGAGUGCUCCAGGCAGGCCUAUGCUCGAAUASAUUAGCAUGGAAUAAUGRAAUAGGACGUGUGGUYYUAUUUYGUUGGUUUCUAGGACCGCCGUAAUGAUUAAUAGGGACAGUCGGGGGCAUCAGUAUUCAAUCGUCAGAGGUGAAAUUCUUGGAUCGAUUGAAGACUAACUACUGCGAAAGCAUUUGCCAAGGAUGUUUUCAUUWAUCAGGAACSAAAGUUAGGGGAUCGAAGACGAUCAGAUACCGUCGUAGUCUUAACCAUAAACUAUGCCGACUAGGGAUCGGACGGUGUUAUUUCUUGACCCGUUCGGCACCUUACGAGAAAUCAAAGUGCUUGGGCCCAGGGGGAGUANGGUCGCAAGGCUGAAACUUAAGGAAUUGACGGAAGGSCACCACCAGGGGUGGAGCCUGCGGCUUAAUUUGACUCAACACGGGGAAACUCACCAGGUCCAGACACAACGAGGAUUGACAGAUUGAGAGCUCUUUCUUGAUUUUGUGGGUGGUGGUGCAUGGCCGUUCUUAGUUGGUGGAGUGAUUUGUCUGCUUAAUUGCGAUAACGAACGAGACCUUAACCUGCUAACUAGUCCGUAUUACCCCGGUAGUACGCCGACUUCUUAGAGGGACUAUCGGCUCAAGCCGAUGGAAGUUUGAGGCAAUAACAGGUCUGUGAUGCCCUUAGAUGUUCUGGGCCGCACGCGCGUUACACUGACGGGGCCAGCGAGUCCUUCCUUGACCGAAAGGUCCGGGUAAUCUUGUGAAACCCCGUCGUGCUGGGGAUAGAGCAUUGCAAUUAUUGCUCUUCAACGAGGAAUCCCUAGUAAGCGCAAGUCAUCAGCUUGCGUUGAUUACGUCCCUGCCCUUUGUACACACCGCCCGUCGCUACUACCGAUUGAAUGGCUCAGUGAGGCUUUCGGACUGGCCCGGAAUGGGGGGCGACCCCCGUCCUGGGCCGGAAAGUUAUCCGAACUCGGUCAUUUAG
rnacentral:rRNA from 1 species